rnacentral:misc_RNA from 1 species
AUAGGACAUGUUGUAGUAUAGACUGUACUGUAUUUUAAACUAAAGUGAGAAGCAAACAUAUUUAUUACAUUUGUUGUAUUUACGUGGUUGUAGUUCUAGGUCUGGUCCUCUGCUGUUUUAUAAAUAUGUCUUCAUCCAAGUUAUCUACCUACUUUCGUGUAAAGAAAGAAUCUAGCGAAUCAUCAAAGAAGAAAAGAAAUAAACAAGAAAAGAUUCUGCCAAAACGAACAGCAACAGAGCCUGAACUGACUGCUGCAGAUAUUUUGCAUCAGAAACAACUGCAGGUGUUGCGGGCAUUUGACCUCAAGUGGGAGUAUGGGCCCUGUGUAGGUGUAAGUAGGCUAGAGAGGUGGGAACAUGCUGAGCAACAUAACCUAAACCCCCCACCUGCUAUAAAGAAGUUAAUUGAGGAUCAUAUUGAUGAUGAAACUUACACCCAGUGUGUGUGGAAUGGCUUUGAGAUAUGACAUGUUUGUGAACUCUGGAGAGGGAAGAACAAACUACCAAGGCUACACAAGGAAGACACUUGGUGAAUUGGAAUUUACCAUAAUCAUCUAUUGAUCAAAGGAAUGUACAUUGUGUUAAAUCCAUUACAUGAAGUAAUGUUUAAUGGCACAAAACAAUGAUGGCUUCUAUUUGUUACGCGUACAUCGCAGAGAACGCCAUCUUGUGUUUAUAGGAUCUUUGAGAAACAUUUAAUGCUGGAAUGAAUAUUGCAAUGCGCUGUGCACACUGGCAAGUUUCUUGUGACAGAUAUCUGUGAUCAACCCAUAUAUGGGCAUGAUGAUAAUGAUGUAAUAUCACACCCAUAUACAGGUAAAUUUUAUCGGAAAAUUUACCUGUAUAUGUAUAUGAUGUAAUAUCACACCCACAGGUAAAUUUUCAGAUUAAAUUAAUAGUGUUAUUAGAGAGCUUACUGUACCACAAGGACCAAAUAAUGUUUGAAUUGAAAAACAAUGACUGAGCAAAUAAUUUGCGUUCUUUUUCAAAUUAGCGCAAACAAUCCCAUGUUUGGAAGGUUUGUAAAUCACUGUGUUCAUUCAAGUGAUUAUAUUUUAUUUAGGAGUUACAUUAAUACUAUUUUAAGAUCUGUUAUAGUUUUAUAAUAGUAUUUGAAAAAUAUAAUGUUUUAUAAUAGUUGAUUUUAACAAAGCAAAAUGAGCUACAUAUGAUUCAUAUCAUAUAACUAUAUGGUAGAAUUCCAUGUUGUGUUGAGUUUCGUAGAAACUGAAUUUUCUAUAAAUAUGUAAGUACAGUAAAUGAUCCAUUGACGUUUAAAUUAAAAAUGAAUGAAUGAUAUAUAAUAAAUAUACUGUAUGCGGUGCAUUUGGGAUGUGAUGUCACAAGGAAAGCAAUACUGUAUGUAGAUUCUAUUGGUGUUUUCUUAUAGUAUUUUAACAUGUUUAAAUUUUUUUCAUAUUUCUACAUAUUUAAGAAGAAGUUAGUACAAAGAUUUUAAUAGCAUAAUACAUUAGUUGUAGUGAGUGCUGUAUUGUUAUUAUCACAAUAAAAUGCAAAAACCAUUGUA